UGCCUGGCGGCCAUAGCGAGUGGGAACCACCUGAAUCCUUUUCGAACUCAGAAGUGAAAACGCUUAGCGCCGAUGAUAGUGCGGGGUUUCCCCGUGUGAAAGUAGGACACUGCCAGGC
rnacentral:rRNA from 2 species